UACGUAGGGGGCAAGCGUUGUCCGGAAUCAUUGGGCGUAAAGCGCGCGUAGGCGGCCAGAUUAGUCCGGUGUGAAAGUCAGAGGCUCAACCUUUGAAUGCCGCUGGAAACUGUCUGGCUUGAGUCCGGAAGGGGCGAGUGGAAUUCCUGGUGUAGCGGUGAAAUGCUGCGAGAUAUCAGGAGGAACACCAAUGGCGAAGGCAGCUCGCUGGAACGGUACUGACGCUGAGG
rnacentral:rRNA from 1 species